CUGUUUCUAUUGGCUCCUUUCUCAGUGUUCCUUUUUCAACUCUGUUAACGGCCAAUCCUAAUAAUAAUAAUAAUUCUCCUCCCCUUCACAUAUCCUCUUCACUUUUUCGCAAUCAUUUCCUCCGCAUGAUCGCCUCCACUUCUCCUCUCCACCAAACCACGUCGAUCUUCCUGUUUAAUCUCAAUCUCAGCCGUCCCUUCGAUCACCUUUCCAAACCUACACUGACUGCUUCCUCCUCCUCUCCGUUGUCGCUUUCGGUGGAUCGGAGUCGGAGUAACGGUAACAUGGAGUGGCUUCGGGGGAUGAGCAGCGGCUGCGUCAAGGAUCGCCGGAGAGAAGACCUUAAAGUGGAGCCUGAUAGCGGCGGCGAAAAUGUCUUCAGUGCCGCCGCCGAUAAGCAGCCUCCAGAACAUCUUAUUGUUAUGGUUAAUGGACUAGUUGGCAGUGCGGCGGAUUGGAGAUAUGCUGCUGGGCAGUUUGUGAAGAAGAUUCCAGAUAAAGUGAUCGUGCACCGCAGUGAAUGCAAUUCUUCAAAAUUGACUUUUGAUGGUGUUGAUCUAAUGGGUGAAAGGCUAGUUGACGAGGUAAGGCGUGUAGUUAGCCAUAGGCCUGAGGUACAAAAGAUCUCCUUUGUGGCUCAUUCUUUAGGGGGUCUCAUUGCUAGAUAUGCAAUUGGGAGGCUAUAUGAAAAUUCUCCUAAAUUAGACCCCACAAUUAUUUCUGGGAAUUCCCCAAGUGAAGAGGAGAAAAAAUAUUCAAUGCAACAGUUUGAGCAGCCUUGCGAAGCUAGAAUUGCUGGAUUGCAACCCAUGAACUUCAUCACAUUUGCAACACCACAUCUUGGUUCAAGGGGAAAUAAACAGCUGCCAUUUCUCUGCGGUCUGCCGUUUCUUGAGAGAAGAGUGUCUCAAACAGCUCAUUUGGUUGCUGGGAGGACUGGAAAGCAUCUCUUCCUAAAUGAUGGGGAUAAUGAAAAACCUCCCCUUCUCCUUCAAAUGGUUAAGGAUUCGGAUGAUUUAAAAUUCAUAUCAGCUUUACGUGCAUUUAAGCGUCGCGUGGCCUAUGCGAAUGCUAAUUAUGAUCAUAUGGUUGGGUGGCGAACAUCAUCAAUCCGGCGUCAACAUGAACUCCCAAAGUCCAGUCUUCUCAUGACUGAUGAAAAAUAUCCUCAUAUUGUUCACAUUGAGCGAGCAACUGCGGAUAACAAUAAAGCAUUGUCUGUUGAUGGAGAGAAACCGAUUGACUUGGAAGAGGAGAUGAUUAGAGGCCUCACUCAAGUACCUUGGGAGCGUGUGGAUGUUAGCUUUCGCAAAAGCAGGCAGCGGUACAUUGCUCAUACCACCAUUCAGGUGAAAAGCUAUUGGUUGAAUUCAGACGGUGCUGAUGUGGUCUUCCAUAUGAUAGAUAACUUCCUUCUGUAGUCGUUUGCAAGUUUGGAGUCCUAUGAUAGAUAUCAUCAGGGUCCCAAUGUGGUGAAGAUGGCAAUAUGGGAGACCCCGAAGUUUGUAUAAGGUAAGGCAUUCCUAAGCUAAUUGAUUUCCUCUUAUCUCUCACCUCCUUUGCCUUUUAGUAAGUCUAAUGAAAGGUGAAAAUGUUAGGAAUUUGACUGGCUUUUUCCUCAAAUUCUCUGAUCCGGGCAUGAUGGUUUUGGUUGUAAAGAUGAAAUGAAUUACUGCCUCUUUCUGUCAUUAUGUUUGGUCAUGCUAUAUUUAUAUCCUUUUCUCCCUGUAUUUUUUAUAAUCUGGUUUUUUAUCUUUGUGGCAAAAGAGAAGGUAAUGCUACUCAUAAUCUAUGACCAUGCUUCAGCUCAUUUUAUGCAGUAAAUCCAUCUCUCGUUUAGUGCAUCAUUGACUGGCUGGGAGCUCGAUUCUUGCUUUGUAACUUAUUCAACAAAUGGUCACACCUAUUUGUGUGAGGGCAUACAUAAAAACAUAUAAAUUGUUUCUGGCUAAAAGUGGUUAAGCUUAUAAGUAUACCGGAUGAAUAGAAAGCAAAGGACCUGAUUGGGCCAGAGAGAGGAUAUGAUUUUAUCCUGGUUUUAUUCUUAGGAACAAGUGGAACAGGGGAAUUUGGUGCUACUUAAUUGGAUUCCCCCAAUCCAUAUUAAUGUUCAUAAAAUUUUGGAAGAUAAACAGGCUUCAAACCGUUCUAAAUUUCCAAUGAGGUAGGUAGAUGAUAUAUAUAUUUUUUGGUAAGUAAAUGUAUGAAUUAACAGGUAGAUGAUAUUUGUUGGUGCAAAAAAAUCUAUGGAGUGGGGUGAAUUUCAUAAAUCCGUCUUAUCGGAUUGACCAAUGGAUGUACAGUUAAUGAAGUUUUACGCAGCUUAUGUUAUCUCUUUAAAAAAAUUUAUAUUAAGUAUCAAAAUGAUUUAUAUUGUUCUUUGCC